AGCGGCGGACGGGUGAGUAACACGUGGGCAACCUGCCUGUAAGACUGGGAUAACUUCGGGAAACCGAAGCUAAUACCGGAUAGGAUCUUCUCCUUCAUGGGAGAUGAUUGAAAGAUGGUUUCGGCUAUCACUUACAGAUGGGCCCGCGGUGCAUUAGCUAGUUGGUGAGGUAACGGCUCACCAAGGCAACGAUGCAUAGCCGACCUGAGAGGGUGAUCGGCCACACUGGGACUGAGACACGGCCCAG
rnacentral:rRNA from 1 species